AACGGGAGGCCACGGGCGUCAGGUGGAGGGUGCUGUGGUGUGGCCUGGGGACCGCAGCAGAGAUCUGAAAAGUGCAUGAACAACAGCAAGUAGAUUCUGCUCCAAGAAGGACACAGGACCUAGGAUUCCAGACAAGGACUCCAGGCCUCUGAGAGGUGAUAAGCUCAGAAAUCAGUUUGCUAGAGAGGUCAAAGGCAGGAGACGCAGGAAAAACUAGCAAUAGGAGCCGCAGAGGAAAAGUACCCAGGGACAGACGCAACACUGGUCACGGUUGAUUGGAGGCAUUCACACAGAGACAGCCUCUGGCUCCUGACAUGCGGUGGCCACCUUGGGCCCCGUGUCCCUCCCUGGCUGGUCCUCAUCUUUCUGUCCACCCUCCCGGGUGUGGAUUCACCUUCUCCCCAAGGCAUUCUCACAGCCAGGGCCUGCGCUGCCAACUGAGAAAAGACAGCAUAAACAGUGACGCGUGUGGGAGAGACAGUUGAUGAGUUUCCCACCUUCAAUUCCAGGAAUAACUCAAGACAAGCAGAGCAGGUGCUAAGAAUAAAUCUGCCUGGAGCACCUACGCCAGGCCGGGGCUCUGUUUUCUCGGCAGGGAGUGUCUCCCGCUCAGCAGGGAUGUUGCUUCUCCUCUGGAGUCAGCAGCAUGCACUCACUGUCGCCCUCUCAUCCUGGCUGGGUCACCCAA